GGCCUUAAGGUGAUAAUCAUAUCGAAUUGCAAAUUCGGAGGUGUAGGAGACUCCCCUACUAAGGCUU
rnacentral:tRNA from 5 species